rnacentral:rRNA from 1 species
AAAGGCCCGCCAAAGACGGUAACAGCCCGGUAGUUGAAAUGGCUUUCCCUCCAGAGUGGAUCCUGAGUACGGCGGAACACGUGAAAUUCCGUCGGAAUCCGGGAGGACCAUCUCCCAAGGCUAAAUACUCCCUAGUGACCGAUAGUGAACCAGUACCGUGAGGGAAAGGUGAAAAGCACCCCGGAAGGGGAGUGAAACAGUUCCUGAAACCGUGUGCCUACAAGUAGUUAGAGCCCGUUAAUGGGUGAUAGCGUGCCUUUUGUAGAAUGAACCGGCGAGUUACGAUUUGUUGCAAGGUUAAGCGGAAAAAGCGGAGCCGUAGCGAAAGCGAGUCUGAAUAGGGCGCAUAAGUAACAGGUCGUAGACCCGAAACCAGGUGAUCUACCCAUGUCCAGGAUGAAGGUAAGGUAAUACUUACUGGAGGUCCGAACCCACGCACGUUGAAAAGUGCGGGGAUGAGGUGUGGGUAGCGGAGAAAUUCCAAUCGAACUUGGAGAUAGCUGGUUCUCUCCGAAAUAGCUUUAGGGCUAGCCUCGAGGUAAAGAGUCAUGGAGGUAGAGCACUGUUUGGACUAGGGGCCCUUCUCGGGUUACCGAAUUCAGAUAAACUCCGAAUGCCAUGUACUUAUACUCGGGAGUCAGACUGCGAGUGAUAAGAUCCGUAGUCGAAAGGGAAACAGCCCAGACCACCAGUUAAGGUCCCCAAAUAUAUGUUAAGUGGAAAAGGAUGUGGGGUUGCUUAGACAACCAGGAUGUUGGCUUAGAAGCAGCCACCAUUGAAAGAGUGCGUAAUAGCUCACUGGUCGAGUGACCCCGCGCCGAAAAUGUACCGGGGCUAAACAUAUUACCGAAACUGUGGAUGAACCUCUUCGGAGGUUCGUGGUAGGAGAGCGUUCUAAGGGCGGUGAAGUCAGACCGGAAGGACUGGUGGAGCGCUUAGAAGUGAGAAUGCCGGUAUGAGUAGCGAAAGAAGGGUGAGAAUCCCUUCCACCGAAUAUCUAAGGUUUCCUGAGGAAGGCUCGUCCGCUCAGGGUUAGUCGGGACCUAAGCCGAGGCCGAUAGGCGUAGGCGAUGGACAACAGGUAGAGAUUCCUGUACCAGUGCUAAUUGUUUAACCGAUGGGGUGACACAGAAGGAUAGGGAAUCGCACGAAUGGAAAUGUGCGUCCAA